rnacentral:rRNA from 1 species
UGAACGCUGGCGGCAUGCCUUACACAUGCAAGUCGAACGGCAGCGCGGGUGCUUGCACCUGGCGGCGAGUGGCGAACGGGUGAGUAAUACAUCGGAACGUGCCCUAGAGUGGGGGAUAACUAGUCGAAAGAUUAGCUAAUACCGCAUACGAUCUACGGAUGAAAGUGGGGGACCGCAAGGCCUCAUGCUCCUGGAGCGGCCGAUGUCUGAUUAGCUAGUUGGUGGGGUAAUGGCCUACCAAGGCGACGAUCAGUAGCUGGUCUGAGAGGACGACCAGCCACACUGGGACUGAGACACGGCCCAGACUCCUACGGGAGGCAGCAGUGGGGAAUUUUGGACAAUGGGGGCAACCCUGAUCCAGCCAUUCCGCGUGAGUGAAGAAGGCCUCGGUUGUAAGCUCUUCGUCAGGAGAAACUAUGAUCGAAUAAUACAUGAGGUUGACGGUACCGUUCGAUAAGAAGCACGGCGUAACUACGU